rnacentral:ncRNA from 1 species
CUGUAGGUUUGCAUUUGUGCAAUUAAAAGGGAAUCAGGUGAAAGUCCUGAACAGUCCCGCUGCUGUAAGUUACUGUUUCGUGAGGCAAACAGGAUGCCACUGAUUUUAUCGGGAAGGCGUUUGUCUCCAGGCAACAUAGUCAGAAGACCUGCCAUCAGCAU